CUCUCUCUCUCUCUCUCUUAUACAUAUACAAACAUGCAGACUGCAAAAACCAGUCAUACGUGUUACUUAUUUUCUACUGUCGUUGAAUCUGUACCAUAUUUUUUCUCUUGUUGCGUACUCACAGAUAGUUCUUCAUUCUCCUUUUUGUUUACUUUCCACUUCAUUCUCUGAUAAAUACUUAUAGAAAACAGCAGUAAGAGUUAAAUUCUGAAAUGCUAGCUCCUCCAUACAAGAAAUAUAUUUCGUGCAAUUGCAGUCUGGCCUUUUAGAUUGUGGAGGUGAAAUUAUUUAGUUUUGUGAUUAACAACAAUUAGAUAAUUUGUUUAUGGAUCUAGCAAGCAAACGGUUUUGUUCUAUAAUACUGCAUAUUGUCCCUUAUCUUCAAGUAUCAUAUGUUUUGUGCUUUUAAGAUGAUUUAUGUGUUGAGUAUGAGAUUCUUAUUUCCACUGAUAGUGAUAGGAGUCAUAGGAAAAGGUAGCUUUGUUGGUUGGUUGUGUUCAUAAGGUGAGUGAUUGUGGUGCCAUACACAAACUUACAUCUGGAUCCAUCUCUUAAGUGCUUUCCUGUACACAAUCUUAUUCAUCCAGCUAAGGUUUACUAUUCUUGCUUUUCUUCCUGAUCCCUCUGUUGUAUAUGAAUAGUCCAUAACUUGCCCAGUUGACAACAUUUUUAUUUUUAUCAGUGUGUGCUCUGGUGAUAUUUAACUACUACAUUAUUUUUCAUUUUUCUAAAUGCAUUGUUGACAAAAGUUUUUAUGAUUUCUGCAGCAAUGCAAUAGCUAAAUAUAUGAAUUCAUAAAAUUGGCCUUGGAUAAGUAGUGUGCUGUCCUCAUUCUUUGUGACUAAAAUACUGAUCUUUUAAAUUGAAUUAGCUUUAAUUUUUCUUUCAUUUGAUGGUACUUUUUAUUUUUAGAUUUUCCCAAGCAUGCAUUGUGGCAAGCGAUAUGGAUGAAGCAGGUCUUGUUAUUGUUAAAUUUCAGUCAUGUGUGACAUAGUGCCCCCCAUUGACCUUUGGUGAAAAUGGAAUUGGACCAAAGAAAGGAGCUUCUUGUUAGGGGAGGUUUAAAGAAGGAAAUCUCCAUUGUACUUUCCUUCUGCCCUGCCAUGCACAUUUGUGUCGAUCUCUUUCACUGAGCAAAUUGCCUUUUGAUGUUGGCAAUAGUGAUGUUCUCUGAACUGGAUUCGACUAAGGAUUAAUAACUGCAAUAUUUUGAGCUUAUUACAUCCUUGAUUACUAGGUGAAUAAGUGAACUUUCACAAUAUAACUUGUUUUUUUCCUUUCAUGGGUUGCAUGUUUGCAGGCAUUGCUCUAUUUUAUUUACCGGAAUACCCUACCAGAUAUGGAAGAGCUUUUCGGCCUGAACUCUAAAUGGGCUUCUACACUGAUGGCUCAGCAUCUGCUUGCAGCAGCAGACCGUUAUGCAUUGGAGAGGCUCAGAUUGCUCUGUGAGGCUAAACUGUGUGAAGAUGUUGCCAUAAACACUGUUGCAACGACACUUGCUUUGGCAGAGCAGCAUCAGUGUCUCCAACUAAAAGCUGUCUGUCUCAAAUUUAUUGCACUGCCUGAAAAUUUGAAAGCUGUGAUGCAGACAGAUGGAUUCGAGUACUUAAAGGAAAGUUGUCCUUCUGUUAUCACAGAACUUCUACAAUACGUGGGUAGAAUUGGUGAGCAUUCUGUCAUUGCUUGUGGACAUGGAAAUGAAAGCUUGGAUGGUGGUAUGAAUGGAAGGCGAGUGAAGCAAAGGCUACACUGAUUUAGGAAUAACAUAUAGCUCGGCAUUUGAACAAAAACUGGAGCAUAAUUUUGUUCCAGUUUUUGAGAUUGUACUAACAGUUGACUAUUUAAUAGAAAAUUCAAUGGUAGUGGUUAUUUUGUUAUGUUUUCCGGUACCUUGGUUAAAUAAUUUUGUGAAUUUCAAGUUCUCUGUUGCAACUCAACCAUUAGGCCAUUUUUCAAUGUGAAAUGGAAUGGCUGUCGGCUGUCGAGGGGUAGUUACUAUUUGUAUUACGGCAGUGUGCCGUGUAGAUGUCCUUUCUGGGGGAUUUCCAGUAGGCUGUGGCAGAAUAAAUAUUCCAUUACUCCUGCAAAUGUAUUUUAGUUACCGUUAUUGCAGCAGAUGAUGGGACAACGCCUGCUUCUCUCUCUCUCUC
rnacentral:misc_RNA from 1 species